GAUGAACGCUGGCGGCGUGCCUAAUACAUGCAAGUCGAGCGAACGGACGAGAAGCUUGCUUUUCUGAUGUUAGCGGCGGACGGGUGAGUAACACGUGGAUAACCUACCUAUAAGACUGGGAUAACUUCGGGAAACCGGAGCUAAUACCGGAUAAUAUUUUGAACCGCAUGGUUCAAAAGUGAAAGACGGUCUUGCUGUCACUUAUAGAUGGAUCCGCGCUGCAUUAGCUAGUUGGUAAGGUAACGGCUUACCAAGGCAACGAUGCAUGGCCGACCUGAGAGGGUGAUCGGCCACACUGGAACUGAGACACGGUCCAGACUCCUACGGGAGGCAGCAGUAGGGAAUCUUCCGCAAUGGGCCAAAGCCUGACGGAGCAACGCCGCGUGAGUGAUGAAGGUCUUCGGAUCGUAAAACUCUGUUAUUAGGGAAGAACAUAUGUGUAAGUAACUGUGCACAUCUUGACGGUACCUAAUCAGAAAGCCACGGCUAACUACGUG
rnacentral:rRNA from 1 species